rnacentral:rRNA from 1 species
GAUUAACGCUGGCGGCGUGCAUGAACAUGCAAGUCGAGCGCGGUACGUGGCUUCGGUCACGUAUCUAGCGGCGCACGGGUGAGUAACACGUGAGCAACCUACCUUCGAGUUCGGGAUAGCCCUGGGAAACCAGGAUUAAUACCGGAUGUGGUCACAACGGGACAUCCCGAUGUAGAAAAAGGCGCAAGCCGCUCGAUGACGGGCUCGCGGCCUAUUAGCUUGUUGGNGGGUAACGGCCUACCAAGGCGACGAUGGGUAGCUGGUCUGAGAGGACGAUCAGCCACACUGGGACUGAGACA